GAUGAACGCUGGCGGCGUGCCUAAUACAUGCUAGUCGAGCGAACGGACGAGAAGCUUGCUUCUCUGAUGUUAGCGGCGGACGGGUGAGUAACACGUGGAUAACCUACCUAUAAGACUGGGAUAACUUCGGGAAACCGUAGCUAAUACCGGAUAAUAUUUUGAACCGCAUGGUUCAAAAGUGAAAGACGGUCUUGCUGUCACUUAUAGAUGGAUCCGCGCCGCAUUAGCUAGUUGGUAAGGUAACGGCUUACCAAGGCAACGAUGCAUAGCCGACCUGAGAGGGUGAUCGGCCACACUGGAACUGAGACACGGUCCAGACUCCUACGGGAGGCAGCAGUAGGGAAUCUUCCGCAAUGGGCGAAAGCCUGACGGAGCAACGCCGCGUGAGUGAUGAAGGUCUUCGGAUCGUAAAACUCUGUUAUUAGGGAAGAACAUAUGUGUAAGUAACUGUGCACAUCUUGACGGUACCUAAUCAGAAAGCCACGGCUAACUACGUGCCAGCAGCCGCGGUAAUACGUAGGUGGCAAGCGUUAUCCGGAAUUAUUGGGCGUAAAGCGCGCGUAGGCGGUUUUUUAAGUCUGAUGUGAAAGCCCACGGCUCAACCGUGGAGGGUCAUUGGAAACUGGAAAACUUGAGUGCAGAAGAGGAAAGUGGAAUUCCAUGUGUAGCGGUGAAAUGCGCAGAGAUAUGGAGGAACACCAGUGGCGAAGGCGACUUUCUGGUCUGUAACUGACGCUGAUGUGCGAAAGCGUGGGGAUCAAACAGGAUUAGAUACCCUGGUAGUCCACGCCGUAAACGAUGAGUGCUAAGUGUUAGGGGGUUUCCGCCCCUUAGUGCUGCAGCUAACGCAUUAAGCACUCCGCCUGGGGAGUACGACCGCAAGGUUGAAACUCAAAGGAAUUGACGGGGACCCGCACAAGCGGUGGAGCAUGUGGUUUAAUUCGAAGCAACGCGAAGAACCUUACCAAAUCUUGACAUCCUUUGACAACUCUAGAGAUAGAGCCUUCCCCUUCGGGGGACAAAGUGACAGGUGGUGCAUGGUUGUCGUCAGCUCGUGUCGUGAGAUGUUGGGUUAAGUCCCGCAACGAGCGCAACCCUUAAGCUUAGUUGCCAUCAUUAAGUUGGGCACUCUAAGUUGACUGCCGGUGACAAACCGGAGGAAGGUGGGGAUGACGUCAAAUCAUCAUGCCCCUUAUGAUUUGGGCUACACACGUGCUACAAUGGACAAUACAAAGGGCAGCGAAACCGCGAGGUCAAGCAAAUCCCAUAAAGUUGUUCUCAGUUCGGAUUGUAGUCUGCAACUCGACUACAUGAAGCUGGAAUCGCUAGUAAUCGUAGAUCAGCAUGCUACGGUGAAUACGUUCCCGGGUCU
rnacentral:rRNA from 1 species